GACAGAGGGUGCAAACGUUGCUCGGAAUUACUGGGCGUAAAGCGCGUGUAGGCGGAUCCGCAAGUCGGGCGUGAAAUCCCUGGGCUCAACCCGGGAACUGCACUCGAAACUGCGGGUCUUGAGUAAUGGAGAGGGUCGCGGAAUUCCUGGUGUAGAGGUGAAAUUCGUAGAUAUCAGGAGGAACACCGGUGGCGAAGGCGGCGACCUGGACAUUUACCGACGCUGAGACGCGGAAGCGUGGGGAGCAAACAGG
rnacentral:rRNA from 1 species